UAGUCCUACGGGAGGCAGCAGUGGGGAAUAUUGGGCAAUGGGCGCAAGCCUGACCCAGCAACGCCGCGUGAAGGAAGAAGGCUUUCGGGUUGUAAACUUCUUUUAAGAGGGAAGAGUAGAAGACGGUACCUCUUGAAUAAGCCACGGCUAACUACGUGCCAGCAGCCGCGGUAAUACGGAGGAUGCGAGCGUCAUCCGGAUUUAUUGGGUUUAAAGGGUGCGUAGGCGGGCUUUUAAGUCAGCGGUAAAAAUUCGGGGCUCAACCCCGUCCGGCCGUUGAAACUGGGGGCCUUGAGUGGGCGAGA
rnacentral:rRNA from 1 species